CACCGCCUGCGGUGUUCGAACGGGUACGCAAUCCCUUAGAACCUAAACUUUAAUCCGGGGAUUGUCUUGCUGGCACUGGUGUGCAGGUCCUCGGCCGAGUUGUCGUUGGAAAGCCUUCAGGUGUCGCAGUGAUCCCCACUUGGACCACUUGGUUCAAGGUACCCGGAACCGUACGGCACACGUGGGCGGUGU
rnacentral:other from 1 species